UUACGGCCACACCAGGUAGAAACACCACUUCCCAUACGAUAACCGAAGUUAAGCAACGUCGAACCUGGUCAGUAUCAAGGUGACCGCUUGGGAAUAGCAGGUGCUGGAU